GGUUCCGCAGGGCGGCUCCUAAGGGCUUGCGGUGCGCCCAGAUGCCAGGGCUGGGCGCACGUGCGUUUGUUAUGGUGCCUGUGCCCCCACCCCUGCCUUGGGCCUCCGUUUGUCUGUCUGUAAACCCAGCAGGCAAGAUCUGAAGGAACCUGGACUCUGCAAAGCACCUCCCUCCCCUGUUGACGACGGGGUGGAGAAAGUGGGGUUCCCGGGGACCGCCAGCACGUGGGUUUGUUGUGGUCCGCAAGCUGGCUGAGCCGGAGAGAAGCCAGGGCGACCCACCGACCCAGAUUAAUCCACAGAUACCCUCGGUCAAAAGGUGGCGGGUCCACGCGGCUAAGGCGGCUGAGGGGUGCUGGACGCGGAUUCCCGGCACCCUAGGCGCGCCCUGGGCCGCGCCGCUCCCCUCCUGCGCCCCUUCGCUCCGCGCCUCGCCGGGGCCCGCGCCGCGCCGCCGCCGGCCGCAGCCCUACUCACUCGCAGCAUUCUCGGCCGCCGAAAGCGGCUGCUCCGCCCGCUCCGCGCCCCAGCCGUCAGGCAGCGGGUUCCCUUUGUUAGCUCCAGGCGGUGCCCCAGGCGUCUUCCUCAGCCUGGCCCGGCCCAGGACUCCCCUCCCCCGAAAGCCUCCAGACUCCGCGUUCGGCAGCGGCCGGAGAGCCCGGGAGCUGGGAGUCCCACCCGGGAGUCUCUGAACUGAAGCAUCACUUGUGUGUCAACACUACUUAAGAACCGAGAAUAAGAAACAGAGGAGAGGUUUUUCUAGAAGGUGGUCUAGUCCCCACUCCACAGUUCUUUUCCCCAGAAGAACUCCAGCCAAAUGAUGGGAAAGACAAGGGACAGGCUCACUCUGGAUUCUUGGCUCACAGGACCAAGGUGACCAUGGAUGACAUAAGCCCAAGAAGUUCUUGGGGCUCCGAGGCAGAUGAGCAGGACUGCAUUCAGGGACCUGCUGUGUUUCAUCUUUAGGAAACGUGGUUGGAGUAUUGAGUUUACCUGGGAGUGACAGUGGAGGUGGGAAGUGGGAGACUAAAGGAAUAAAAAAUGUCAGCAGCAGUAAUAAAUCACCCCUAAAAUUUCAUAGCAUGAUAAAUCUUAAUAAAGCUUUAUCACUUACUCAUGUCAUAGUCUGAUGUAACUUGGGGAUCUCUCCAUAGAGGCUGUCUUCCAAAAGGUGGCUCUGGGAUACAGAAUCCUUCAUCCUGUGACUAUCAUCAUUCAUCAUUAACCCUUUGGCCUCUGCUCUCACUAUGGAGGGGAACACAGUGUGUGGGAAGGCACAUGAGAUACUUAAUUACUUCAGCCUGGAAGUGGCACCCAUUUGUGCUUACAUUCCACUGGCCAGACCUAGUCAUGGGUCCAAGGUAACU